CUCUGUGGCGCAAUCGAUCAGCGCGUUCGGCUGUUAACCGAAAGGUUGGUGGUUCGAGCUCAGUGAACCACAGAGG